UUGCCAGACUCCUACGGGAGGCAGCAGUGGGGGAUAUUGCACAAUGGGGGGAACCCUGAUGCAGCGACGCCGCGUGGGUGAAGAAGCGCCUCGGCGCGUAAAGCCCUGUCAGCAGGGAAGAAAAUGACGGUACCUGGGGAGGAAGCUCCGGCUAACUACGUGCCAGCAGCCGCGGUAAUACGUAGGGAGCAAGCGUUGUCCGGAAUUACUGGGUGUAAAGGGAGCGUAGGCGGGGAUGCAAGUUGGGUGUCAAAACUACCGGCUCAACCGGUAGUCGCACUCAAAACUGCAACUCUUGAGUGAAGUAGAGGCAGGCGGAAUUCCUAGUGUAGCGGUGAAAUGCGUAGAUAUUAGGAGGAACACCAGUGGCGAAGGCGGCCUGCUGGGCUUUUACUGACGCUGAGGCUCGAAAGUGUGGGGAGCAAACAGGAUUAGAUACCCGCGUAAA
rnacentral:rRNA from 1 species